rnacentral:rRNA from 1 species
UACAGAGGUCCCAAGCGUUGUUCGGAUUCACUGGGCGUAAAGGGUGCGUAGGCGGUCGGGUAAGUCUUAUGUGAAAUCUACAGGCUCAACUUGUAGUCUGCAUGAGAAACUGCCGGGCUUGAGUAUGGGAGAGGUGAGUGGAAUUCCUGGUGUAGCGGUGAAAUGCGUAGAUAUCAGGAGGAACACCUGUGGCGAAAGCGGCUCACUGGACCAUAACUGACGCUGAUGCACGAAAGCUAGGGGAGCAAACAGG